rnacentral:ncRNA from 1 species
GGAAUAUGGAUUCUGGCAAUGCAACGGAGUUGGGUCCUCAAAGCACUGUUUCGGUGCGGACUGCGCGAGCGGUACCAAAUCGAGGCAAACUCUGAAUACUAGAUAUGACCCAAAAAUAACAGGGGUCAAGGUCGGCCAGUGAGACGAUGGGGGAUAAGCUUCAUCGUCGAGAGGGAAACAUCCCGGAUCACCAGCUAAGGCCCCUAAAUGACCGCUCGGUGAUAAAGGAGGUGGGGGUGCAAAGACAGCCAGGAGGUUUGCCUAGAAGCAGCCAUCCUUUAAACAGUGCGUAAUAGCUCACUGAUCGAUACCAUCUUAUUAUCGCCUACAAGUGUCCCUCCCUCCAUGGCUUGGAGGUACACUGAUGGGACUUCACAUUUCAGUCGCUAUAAUUUAACGAUAAUAUUAACACUAGGUGUGCUUAG